rnacentral:ncRNA from 1 species
CGGGGAGAAAAACACAGGCCGGUUGGUAGUCCUGGCCGCGGCCUUCGGCGGACGCGUCCCGCCGCCGAAAGCCGUCAGUAACCUGCCCUCCCAUGGGUUGUCCGCCCC